GGAGGUGUGGCCGAGUGGUUUAAGGCAGCGGUCUUGAAAACCGCCGAUGGGCAACUAUCCUAGAGUUCGAAUCUCUACGCCUCCGCCA
rnacentral:tRNA from 1 species